rnacentral:rRNA from 1 species
UGGGCACUCUAAGGAGACUGCCGGUGACAAACCGGAGGAAGGUGGGGAUGACGUCAAGUCAUCAUGGCCUUACGGCCUGGGCUACACACGUGCUACAAUGGUCGGUACAAAGGGUUGCCAAGCCGCGAGGUGGAGCUAAUCCCAUAAAACCGAUCGUAGUCCGGAUCGCAGUCUGCAACUCGACUGCGUGAAGUCGGAAUCGCUAGUAAUCGUGAAUCAGAAUGUCACGGUGAAUACGUUCCCGGGCCUU